AUGGAGACGGCGUCUUCCGAAAUCGGGCGCCUGCCGGAGAAGCUACUUGUGCGCGUGAUCUCGCUCACGUCGCCUGUGGCCGCCUCCCAUGCCGCUUCCGUCUCCCGGGCCUUCCGCGCCGCCGCCGACAGCGACACCGUCUGGUCCUGCUUCGUGCCACGCGAGCUUCCACGGUUCGCCAAGAAGCAGAUCUCCCCGUCGACAGCGUCCAAGAAGGCGCUCUUCCGGCGCCUCUCCUGCCUGCCCGCCUUCAUCCCUCGCAAGCUCAUGCACAUGAGGCUCGACAAGGCUACCGGCGCCAAGUGCUUCAUGCUUUCGGCCGAGAUACUACAGAUCACCAAGUACCGGCGCUACCAGAAAUGUUGCUCGUGUUGUUUUCUUUUUGUAUCUUUUUGGUCAUAA
rnacentral:rRNA from 1 species